rnacentral:lncRNA from 1 species
AUGCUGAUGCGCGCGCGCUGGCGCCUUUUUAAGGCAACCGGCGAGUGGCGGCUCCGCCAGAGCCGCGCGCUGCCCCCGCCCCCGAGCGGCGAGCCCGGCGCGGGGCCCGGGCCCGGGAGCCCCCGGCGGCGUCCGCCUCAUCCCCCGCCCCUAGUGCCCUCGGCCCCCCGUGGGCCCCCUCCGGCCGCCGGGACACGAGGGUGGGGGGCUGCCCCGCGCCCCUCGCCCCCUCCCCCUAGGAGCCCCGCGAGGAAGUUCGGGGACCCUCUCUGGACCAGGGCGCCCGGCGGCCUCCCCCCGACCCAGUGCGCUUCGGGCUCGAUGGCCACCCGGACAAACUCGAGGAUCCUGUGGACGCCGUCACCGACCAGCCGCUGUGCCCCGCUCUGCUUCCAUCGAAGGCUUCCUGCAGCCCGGCUGCUCUCUGGAACCCCACUUUGCCCAGACGUCAGAGUGUGCACCUCGGGGUGGAGCUCGCCCUGGAGCCUUGAAUGGCACUUGCCAAGGACACCGUAG